rnacentral:lncRNA from 1 species
UUUCAAACGUUUCUCCUGAGCUGUUCCAGAAGAGAUAAAGCAUGUAAUGCACGUAUAUGCAUGUAACUAAUGUUAAAGAACUACAGAUAUUUUAAAAUCGGCAGAAAACAGGCACAUCAUCAAGCACCAUGAAACAUGUGGCAUCCAGCUGUGAUACAGAAAAUACAUCUGCGCCGAGAGAUACAGCACUAUAAUAUCACUGAUCACAACACAAGGCUAACACUGUGUCACUCAGUGGAAAAGAUUAUUGCUGAAGUCUAAAGUAUGAAUCAGAAGUCCCUCCAGGAACUCAAAUCAACUUAUCUGCGGGUAAGCAGUUAUGAAUUACUAUAGGUGUCCUGUACAUUUUAUUCUCUUAAUAUGUGAUAAAAACAC